CUGCAGUGCACAUCCAGCCCUGGUCUAGCCCAACAUCUCUUUGAUCUCUUCCUGGACAGCGUUUGUAAGGGACAGCAGCCCUUUGUAAGGUGAUCAUUUCCUUUUGAGGGACACACUGGCUCCCUGGCGUUGUAUCAGAGAGAAGACCAGUGGCCUUCUUGGGUCCUACUGAUCUCCCUUUUAUUCUUCCUCACCCAGUCCCUAGCCUAGAAGUUUCCUUAACUCCCUUACUUUUGGCCAAGACACCAGUCUAUACCCAGAAUCCCCCAAGGGCUUAAGCUUGUGGAAAACGGGGCCAAAGGCACUUUGUAGACUGUUUCCACUUUCUCCUCCCCACAGACCUCUCUGCCUGUUUCAACAGAAGGAGGGCAGGGCAAAGGCCAGGAAGGGAGAGGUAACCAUGUCACCAUGGGCUCAGCCAGGCUGAGGAUCCCUAAGCCCCUGUCCCUUGGUCGUCAGGAAUCCUGCACAGGGCUCAUCAGCUUGCAGACUGUCCCAGCCGUCCUGCAAAGACGGCAGCGUGGGAGUGGGGAGGGAGGCACACACGGGCACGGCAAUCUGAUUGUUCUGGCAAUGUGUGCAAAGCUGCCCAGCUGCCAUGGCAUCCCAGGUCCUCGAGAAGCCAGGCUCAGGUCUGCCCACAACCGCCUUCUCACAGAGGAGUCCCUGGGUGUAUCUACCAUCUCCAGCUCCUUUUCUUUCUGCUCAUUUCCACUGAGCUUGGAUUUAGUCUGAAUGACAGCCCCACCCAGCAUCCUGCCUCCUGGCCUGUCUAGCAAUCAAUCAGUUCCUUACCAUUGCAUUUAUAAAUGGCUCUCCUCCACCGCAGAGGCUGGGAUGGGGAUCCAGCUGAACCCCGCAGUCCCAGUAACACUGAGGGCCAACACAGAGCUUCCUGCUCCUCAUCACCCCUUCUUCAUCACAGGCAAGAGACACUGUUUCCUCAGCUACUUUUUCUGUCAUUUGCAUAAAAUCGCGGGUACCCAUGGAUGAACUCACUGACGAAUCUGUGUACCCGUACCCAGCACCGCGAUCAGAUGUGCUCACUUUCUUUGUGACUUUGAUACGAGAUCAUACCCGGUUGUGGACUGCAGAAUGGUGUCUGGUGUGUUGUGUAGUCGAUGAACUGAGCUAGUACAUGCAGAACCCCUCACAGUUCUUAUGUCUUGAGAUGACCGUUCAGCCUUCCCAGCAUCCCCUUGGCUGUGUUUUCGGCCACACUGCGUCCGCUGGGAACAGCGCGUUGGGGGAGUAUGAGAAUCCAGGGUCCACACGAUGCCGAUUUUUGUUUCCAGUCAUGGGAUUGGUGCAUCCUAUGGUGGUUUAAUUUUCAGUUAUUUUGAGGAACCUUCACAUCACACCGUUUAAACUUAUAAUACUACCUCAAUGGAGAGUAACACCCUCAGUUCAAAACCCCAAAUUUGAGAUGCUCUGAAAUUUGAACCAGUUUAUCACUGCUGUGACACCACAGAGGCGAGGUCCAUGUCUUGAAACUGUUUCAGGCACAAACUUAUUAAAACUAUGGUACAGAUCACCCUGGUCUGAGCACAGAAAGUGUGUUAGGGCUCUAAGGGAAUUUUGGGUUCAGACAGGGUUCCUUCUCCAAGAAAUCGGAUUUUGUAUGAACAAAUGUCAAAAAAAAAAAUCCCUAAAAUAAUAAUAGUAAAACUU